CCUACGGGUGGCAGCAGUGGGGAAUAUUGCACAAUGGAGGGAACUCUGAUGCAGCGACGCCGCGUGAGUGAAGAAGUAAUUCGUUAUGUAAAGCCCUAUCGGCAGGGAAGAAUUUAGACGGUACCUGACUAAGAAGCCCCGGCUAACUACGUGCCAGCAGCCGCGGUAAUACGUAGGGGGCAAGCGUUAUCCGGAUUCACUGGGUGGAAAGGGAGCGUAGACGGCCAGGCAAGCCUGGAGUGAAAGCCCGGGGCCCAACCACGGGACUGCUCUGGGAACUGUACGGCUGGAGUGCGGGAGGGGCCGGCGGAAUUCCUGGUGUAGCGGUGAAAUGCGUAGAUAUCAGGAGGAACACCGGCGGCGAAGGCGGCCUGCUGGACCGCGACUGACGUUGAGGCUCGAAAGCGUGGGGAGCGAACAGGAUUAGAUACCCUGGUAGUC
rnacentral:rRNA from 1 species